GAUAUUUCUUGUAUUCAAGGAAGUUCCUGAAAAUUUUGUAAUAUACAAAUUAUGAAUCAUGUCCUUUUUACUAUAAUUCACCACUUGCAAUUAACAUCAAAACUCCAUGCUAAUACACAACAGUUUGUAGGCUGCACAUUAUUUAAGGUAUAAAUAUACACUAUACAACAAACUGAUGAGUUCUCUCAGAUAAAAGGAGAAAUCAAACUCUAAUUUACAAAAAGAGCGUGACUCAGAUUUGCCAAUCCUUUCUUACUUGACAACUUCUCUCUGUCUUAAUAGUUCUCAUUUAGCUUAAAUACAGAGCUGACAUAUUCUUCUGUGUCCCAAAGGAAAGAACCAAAAGCAACUGCCUCCAAAAUUAAUCUCCUCAGGCUUGAAAAAGAAGUCAAAAUAACCUCAUCAUUCUCCAGCAAACCAUUCUUGUCAUUCCCAAAAAGUGCACAGCUAUGCUUCUCAAUCAAAUUUACAGCCUCUUUAGAUUUCAGUUUCGCACAUCUCUGCAAUGUCUCAGCGUCAAAACCCAUCACAUAGCACUUCAAAUUUUCAUGUUUACAGUCCUGCUUGCUUGACCCUUGACCGGAUGAAACAGAUUGCACGUUGCUUAUGUGACCAAAAACUAGAUUUGAUAGAUCAUGAGGUAAUGAGUCUUGAAGUUGAAGCACAUUCCUACAAUUAAGGUGAAUAUCUUGGUGGGGCACAGCUAGACACCUUUCUAAAUAAUGCUUCAAGGAGGCAGACUUCAAGAAGUAACCAUAUAAGAUGGAGGCUGCAUACACCUGACCAAGCUGGAGUAGCUGGAUCUCAGUUGUUGCCCAACAGUCUGUGACACUAGAAUUCGCUCUCAAGCCAAUUACUGAAAAGACAUGUUCCCUUAUCAUCUCUAAAAUGUCGAAGCUAUGAAUGGACUCUAGUUCCCAGUCCUUUGAAGGCCAUAUCUCUAGUCUGCUAUUAUAAAUGCAACUAGAGAGCUUUGGAACCAAAGGGACUCUGAUCUCAGA
rnacentral:misc_RNA from 1 species